UACAGAGGGUGCAAGCGUUAAUCGGAAUUACUGGGCGUAAAGCGUGCGUAGACGGUAGCGUAAGUCGGGUGUGAAAGCCCCGGGCUCAACCUGGGAAUUGCAUUCGAGACUGCUCUGCUAGGGUGCGGAAGAGGGGAGCGGAAUUUCCGGUGUAGCGGUGGAAUGCGCAGAUAUCAGGAGGAACACCAAUAGCGAAGGCAGCUCGCUGGGACGUUACUGACACUGAGGCGCGAAAGCGUGGGGAGCGAACAGG
rnacentral:rRNA from 1 species